rnacentral:misc_RNA from 1 species
GCAUAAUCUAAGCCAUUUUUUUCAGAUUGCUAAAGGAAGUAAACUUGUUUUAUGUUAGGUUAAAUAUUUUGACCAGGUGUACUUUGAUGGGCAUAUAGAAGUUAUUAAUGGCAUAAUCUUAAUCAAAUGUAAUUGUUCAAUGUCGAUGGAACAUUUUCUGACAUUUUGUUAUGUGAUUUUUUUUUUAACUUUUACUGUGAUCCUCUUGUCAUUAUUUUUUUUUUAUUUUGUUAUCUUUUAUAUGUAGGAUCAUAUCAUUCGAUGUAUAUUAGAACUUUUAGGAUACGAUAUCCCACAGAUUUGUGUUAACGAUGACCUUUUCAUGCAUAUUUAUUGAUGUUAUGUUUUAUGAAAUCCUAGAAUAUAUGAAUAGUUUUUGUUUUAUUAUAUCUUAAAAGUGCUUUAUAUUCAAAAGUUUCUCUGAAUCGAAAGAAAAUUAUAUAAUUUUGUCAAUGUGUUGUGGUUGUUUUGACAUGAUUUUGCUGCUUUAUAAUGACCUCAAGUCUUAGACUAAAAAAUGUGGUUUCCUGGAGAAAAAAAAACAAGGUCAUUAUAAAAUUAAGAGUUUAACAAACACGAAUAUUUAAAAAAUAGAUCUAGAUUGGCAAAUAAACUUUUGACUGAG